GGGUGAUGGGGCCGGUAGCAGGGGUUAGGGCAGGCGUCUCUGGAGGGAGACACCAGCCUGCUAUGGCUGGCAGGCUGCCCUCAGGCCCCUCACCUGCGGCAGCGUGAGGCCUCUUCUGUGCUGGACACAGCCCCUAGGCUGACUCCGUCCCUGCUGCCGUCCUCCCACCUACUAUAGUGGACGUGGCUCUCCUGGGGCUGCAUGCUGUGGGGCUGCAGCGGGAGGGGCGGGGCCUUCUCGGUGGGGAGAUCAAGACAGGUGGCCAGGCUGUGGCUUCACCGGAGAACCUUGCCUGAGGGCUGGGGCCUCUGGGCCAGGUUGCGGUCAGGGCCUGGCCAGCGGCCCGCACCUCCCAGCGGGGCAGGUCGUGGGCUGAGGUGCGGCAGACGCCUCGAGCCUAAAAAAAUAAAGGUGACCGGAGAAGCCGAUCUUGCUAAGGGCCGGGAAGGGAAAGUGGCUGGUGUCGGGGGUCCCCAGCAGCCACAAGGAGCCGGGCAAGGAGCCGGGCGGGCAGUUCCGGCCCUGGCCCCGCACCGCGGGUUAGGCCGGUGGGGGUCAGUCCAGGGCACGCCCCCACCCCCGCCAGUUCUCAGCCAGCGAGGCCGCGCACAGUCGCACCUGCCCACUGCGGCCGCACCGGGAAGCCGCAGCCCGGACCCCGCGCGCCUCACCUGUGUCCCCGCGUCUCUGGGCUCCGCAGGGGCCGGGCCUGGGCAGGGGGCGAGGGCGGGGGCGGGGCCACGCGGGGAAGGGCUGGAGCCAGCAGCGGGGAGGUGUCUGGUC
rnacentral:lncRNA from 1 species